CUUGGUUCAAAUUGAACGCUGGCAUGAAUCCUAACACAUGAAAGUCCAGCGUUGGCGCGGGGGCAACCCUGGCGGUGAGCGGCGCACGGGUGAGGAAUGCGUCGGAAUCUGCCUCUUUGUGGGAGAUAAUUCAGGGAAACUUACGCUAAUACCGCAUACAACCUACCGGAGAAAGCGGGGGACCUUCGGGCCUCACGAACAGAAAUGAGACGACGCCGGAUAAAUUGGUUGGCCCUCGAAAGGUCCACCCCCUCGACGAUCCGUAUCUGGUCUGAGAGGAAGAUCAGCCACACUGGAACUGAGACACUUGCCAGACUCCUACGGGAGGCAGCAUUGGGGACUAUUGGACAAUGGGCGCAGGCCUGAUCCAGCCAUGCCGGGUGUGUGAAGCGGCCUUUGCGUUGCAAAGCCCUUUUGUCCGGAAAGAAAUCUGUCGAGUUAAUAGCUCGGACGGAUGACGGUACCGCAUGAAUAAACACCGGAUAACUUUCUGCUAGCAAGCGCGGUAAUACGAAGGGAGCGAGCGUCACUCUGAAUUACUGUACGUAAAAUGUGCCUACGUGUGUGGGGGAGCCUGAUGAGUCAUCUCUGUGCUCAUCCUGCGAAUGUACUUGCCAUACUGGUGACCUACAGUGCGUUACAGGGCUGCUAAAAUUCUAGGUGUCCCAACAGAAUAGCUUACAUAUCGUGAGGAACAGCCUAGGCGGAAUGUGUAAUCCUGGUACGAGCCCUGACACUUAGUGCACUGAAAGCGUGGAGAGGGAUACCAGCAAUACAUCCUUCUGCCUAUGCCGCGCCCCUACAAGAAUGUACACUGUUUCGCCGCGUAGCCAAGUUGGAUUCUCAUCAUCUCACCCUGACCCUCUUGCANNUCCACGUCUGAGANAAGUACNNCCUUCCGAUGUACUGCCAACGUCNUAUUCAACUUUGUUUCAGGUUUGNCCCAGACCGAAGCCUANGUGCGACGGCUCUAUUGUUAGCGAGUUCCUCAAUUANGUAUCG
rnacentral:rRNA from 1 species